CCUGUUGCCACAAACCCGUAGAUCCGAACUUGUGUUGAUCGUCCACACAAGCUUGUGUCUAUAGGUAUGUGUCUGGUAGG
ensembl:miRNA Mir100 microRNA 100